UGGAUCUCUCGAGUCAAUCGAAGCCGGAAGUGCGACUCGCGGACACGUGAACUGCAACGUCAAAAUUUUUCGUUCUCACGGACCGAUCCACUUCCAUGAUCUUCUCUCCGAUACUCGAGAACGCAUCACUGCGGCGCGGAACACGUGGCGCGUAGCUUUUUUGUUUGUGAAUUGACUCACGAAGUAUAUUAGUGUGUAAAGAAGGAGAGGCAG